GAUGAACGCUGGCGGCGUGCCUAAUACAUGCAAGUCGAACGCACAGCGAAAGGUGCUUGCACCUUUCAAGUGAGUGGCGAACGGGUGAGUAACACGUGGACAACCUGCCUCAAGGCUGGGGAUAACAUUUGGAAACAGAUGCUAAUACCGAAUAAAACUUAGUGUCGCAUGACACAAAGUUAAAAGGCGCUUCGGCGUCACCUAGAGAUGGAUCCGCGGUGCAUUAGUUAGUUGGUGGGGUAAAGGCCUACCAAGACAAUGAUGCAUAGCCGAGUUGAGAGACUGAUCGGCCACAUUGGGACUGAGACACGGCCCAAACUCCUACGGGAGGCUGCAGUAGGGAAUCUUCCACAAUGGGCGAAAGCCUGAUGGAGCAACGCCGCGUGUGUGAUGAAGGCUUUCGGGUCGUAAAGCACUGUUGUAUGGGAAGAACAGCUAGAAUAGGAAAUGAUUUUAGUUUGACGGUACCAUACCAGAAAGGGACGGCUAAAUACGUGCCAGCAGCCGCGGUAAUACGUAUGUCCCGAGCGUUAUCCGGAUUUAUUGGGCGUAAAGCGAGCGCAGACGGUUUAUUAAGUCUGAUGUGAAAGCCCGGAGCUCAACUCCGGAAUGGCAUUGGAAACUGGUUAACUUGAGUGCAGUAGAGGUAAGUGGAACUCCAUGUGUAGCGGUGGAAUGCGUAGAUAUAUGGAAGAACACCAGUGGCGAAGGCGGCUUACUGGACUGCAACUGACGUUGAGGCUCGAAAGUGUGGGUAGCAAACAGGAUUAGAUACCCUGGUAGUCCACACCGUAAACGAUGAACACUAGGUGUUAGGAGGUUUCCGCCUCUUAGUGCCGAAGCUAACGCAUUAAGUG
rnacentral:rRNA from 1 species